ACUUAAAGAGAUCUUGUCAGAGGCCUGGGGAAAGAAACUCGGCAGAAUCCUAUGGUUUUCACGAAAGCCAGAGCAGGGCCAUUUUACAUGCAAUGAUUAACUGGAAAAUUUGUUCCUUCUGAGCUACCAGGAAACACAAUGGAAUUAGUGCCGAAGCCCCAUCCGGGAGCAGAGCUAAUACUGCGGCAGGAACAGCUCAUGCUAAUCGUCAGUGACCCGUGUGAAUAAUGUUAGUCACCCAGGGAGGAGAGGCUGGAACAUGGAUGCUUGUCAUGUGUCACUUAGCAGAGAUACUUACUGGGAAAACUGUCAUUAGGCAAUUUCGUCAUUGUGCGAACAUCACAGAGUGUACCCACGCAAACCCACAUGGCACAGCCUGCUACAUGCCUAGUCUAUACGGCACAGCUUAUUGCUCCUAGGCUACAAAGCUGUACAUCAUGUCACUGUGCGGAAUACUGUUGGCAACUGUAACACAAUGGAGUGGCCUAGUAAAGAGAACCUUCCCAGCAUUGAAUUUCAAUUCAGUCUUGGCCGGAUUAUUAUCUAGGUAAUACAGCCGAGCCCUCAGGCCUGCUCCAGGCACGAAACCAACUGAGACUGGAAGAUUUAUAAAU